CCUACGGGGGGCUGCAGUAGGGAAUCUUCCACAAUGGACGAAAGUCUGAUGGAGCAACGCCGCGUGAGUGAAGAAGGUUCUCGGAUCGUAAAACUCUGUUGUGAGGGAAGAACAAGUACCGGAGUAACUGCCGGUACCUUGACGGUACCUCAUUAGAAAGCCACGGCUAACUACGUGCCAGCAGCCGCGGUAAUACGUAGGUGGCAAGCGUUGUCCGGAAUCAUUGGGCGUAAAGCGCGCGCAGGCUGUCCCUUAAGUCUGAUGUGAAAGCCCCCGGCUCAACCGUGGAGGGUCAUUGGAAACUGGGGGACUUGAGUGCAGAAGAGGAAAGCGGAAUUCCAAGUGUAGCGGUGAAAUGCGUAGAGAUUUGGAGGAACACCAGUGGCGAAGGCGGCUUUCUGGUCUGUAACUGACGCUGAGGCGCGAAAGCGUGGGGAGCAAACAGGAUUAGAUACCCCAGUAGUC
rnacentral:rRNA from 1 species